GACGAACGCUGGCGGCGUGCUUAACACAUGCAAGUCGAACGGACAGACAGAGAGCUUGCUCUCUUGAAGUUAGUGGCGAACGGGUGAGUAACGCGUAAUCAACCUGCCCUUCAGAGGGGGAUAACAACGGGAAACCGUUGCAAAUACCGCGCACGAUUCAUGAACGGCAUCGUUUAUGAAUGAAAGGUGGCCUCUAUGUAUAAGUUAUCGCUGAAGGAGGGGAUUGGGUCUGAUUAGCUAGUUGGAGGGGUAACGGCCCACCAAGGCAAUGAUCAGGAGCCGGUCUGAGAGGAUGAACGGCCACAUUGGGACUGAGACACGGCCCAAACUCCUACGGGAGGCAGCAGUGGGGAAUCUUCCGCAAUGGACGAAAGUCUGACGGAGCAACGCCGCGUGAGUGAUGAAGGUCUUCGGAUUGUAAAGCUCUGUUAAUCGGGACGAAAGAGUUCUGCGUGAAUAAUGCAGAAAAGUGACGGUACCGGAAUAGAAAGCCACGGCUAACUACGUGCCAGCAGCCGCCGUAA
rnacentral:rRNA from 1 species